GACGAACGCUGGCGGCGUGCCUAAUACAUGCAAGUAGAACGCUGAAGGAGGAGCUUGCUCUUCUGGAUGAGUUGCGAACGGGUGAGUAACGCGUAGGUAACCUGCCUGGUAGCGGGGGAUAACUAUUGGAAACGAUAGCUAAUACCGCAUAACAGUAGAUGUUGCAUGACAUUUGCUUAAAAGGUGCAAUUGCACCACUACCAGAUGGACCUGCGUUGUAUUAGCUAGUUGGUGGGGUAACGGCUCACCAAGGCGACGAUACAUAGCCGACCUGAGAGGGUGAUCGGCCACACUGGGACUGAGACACGGCCCAGACUCCUACGGGAGGCAGCAGUAGGGAAUCUGCGGCAAUGGACGGAAGUCUGACCGAGCAACGCCGCGUGAGUGAAGAAGGUUUUCGGAUCGUAAAGCUCUGUUGUAAGAGAAGAACGAGUGUGAGAGUGGAAAGUUCACACUGUGACGGUAUCUUACCAGAAAGGGACGGCUAACUACGUG
rnacentral:rRNA from 1 species